GACGAACGCUGGCGGCGUGCCUAAUACAUGCAAGUCGAGCGCAGGAAAUCAUCCGAACCCUUCGGGGGGACGUUGAUGGAAUGAGCGGCGGACGGGUGAGUAACACGUAAAGAACCUGCCCUCAGGUCUGGGAUAACCACGAGAAAUCGGGGCUAAUACCGGAUGGGUCAUCGGACCGCAUGGUCCGAGGAUGAAAGGCGCUUCGGCGUCGCCUGGGGAUGGCUUUGCGGUGCAUUGCUAGUUGGUGGGGUAAUGGCCCACCAAGGCGACGAUGCAUGUCGGACCUGCGUGGGUGAUCGGCCGCACGGGGACUGAGACACGGCCCAGACUGCUACGGGAGGCAGCAGUGGGGAAUCUUCCACAAUGGACGAAAGUCUGAUGGAGCAACGCCGCGUGAAAGAUGAAGGCCUUCGGGUCGUAAAGUUCUGUUGUAAGGGAAGAAAAAGAAUGAUAGGAAAUGAUCAUUAAUUGACGGUACCUUACCAGAAAGCCACGGCUAACUACGUGCCAGCCGCCGCAGUAACAC
rnacentral:rRNA from 1 species